rnacentral:lncRNA from 1 species
GCAGACUGUCCCUCAAUUUGGGAUUGUCUCAUUAGAUUAGAUGCAGGGAUGCAUCUUUGCAGGAAUGUCUUAAAAGCAAUGUUAUUCUUCUCAGCACAUCACACCAGGAAGUGCAUGAUGUCAGUUUCUUCCAUCCUCAGUGCCGUCUUCUGCCUUUCAAUUCACUGUCCUCACUCUGACUUCUCUUGUUUGUUCUAGAACUUUGCUCCCCAGCUGUCUUAUGGCUAUGAUGAGAAAUCAACCGGAGGAAUUUCCGUGCCUGGCCCCAUGGGUCCCUCUGGUCCUCGUGGUCUCCCUGGCCCCCCUGGUGCACCUGGUCCCCAAGGCUUCCAAGGUCCCCCUGGUGAGCCUGGCGAGCCUGGAGCUUCAGGUCCCAUGGGUCCCCGAGGUCCCCCAGGUCCCCCUGGAAAGAAUGGAGAUGAUGGGGAAGCUGGAAAACCUGGUCGUCCUGGUGAGCGUGGGCCUCCUGGGCCUCAGGGUGCUCGAGGAUUGCCCGGAACAGCUGGCCUCCCUGGAAUGAAGGGACACAGAGGUUUCAGUGGUUUGGAUGGUGCCAAGGGAGAUGCUGGUCCUGCUGGUCCUAAGGGUGAGCCU